UGCUACAGUCAGAGGCGGGCUAAGUUGGCCGGGCGCCCUAGGAGACCCAGCCAGCCACCUCACCCCCACUGCUGUCAGCAAACCCCUCCCCACACGCAAGCGUGCAUACGUGGGGAUGCUGGUAGUGGAGGGAGCGCUGAGUCGGGAUAAUGCAGAAGCAAAACAUAAAGCCGCAACACCAUCAUAGGCCCAAAUAUCUUUUCAGCUCUACCCCCAAUCUGUAGCUAAUCAUGCCACGGAAAAGGACAAAAUACAGUUAAUAAACAUCUCCAGAAAUA